CUCGGCGGGGCCGGGCGCGGGCGGGCUCGGGGCGAGAUGGAGCCGUGACCAGUGACUGCGGAGAGAGCUGCUGGCAUGGAAGUGAGCUGGGUUUGUCCGUGGGAACUGUGAGUAAGGGUUCAGAUUGCUAGCACAGUGGGAAAACAAGCAUGUUCCAAGGUGUAGCUUUUCAUCAGAACAGCAAGCUGAAUUGACUUGCUCUGGGGCUGCAGUCACUACUUGAAGGAGAGAAGGUUGCCAUCACGAAAGCCAAAGUGGAUUUCUCCGGCGUGGUGUGCCUGCCCCCUUCCGUCAUUGCUGGAAAUGGGCUGGACGGAGGCGGGGCUGGCGAAAACGAUGAUGAGUC